AACGUAGGUUCCGAGCGUUAUCCGGGUUUACUGGGCGUAAAGCGCGUUCAGGCGGUUUGGCAAGUCGGGCAUGAAAUCUCUCGGCUCAACCGGGAGAGGUUGUCCGAUACUGCUGGACUUGAGGGCAGUAGAGGGUGGUGGAAUUCCGGGUGUAGUGGUGAAAUGCGUAGAUAUCCGGAGGAACACCAGUGGCGAAAGCGGCCACCUGGACUGCACCUGACGCUGACACGCGAAAGCUAGGGGAGCGAACGGG
rnacentral:rRNA from 1 species